GUGUCAGCAGCCGCGGUAAUACGUAGGCAGCGAGCGUUGUUCGGAGUUACUGGGCGUAAAGGGUGUGUAGGCGGUCCCUUAAGUUUGGUGUGAAAUCUCCCGGCUCAACUGGGAGGGUGCGCCGGAUACUGAGGGGCUAGAGUGCGGGAAGGGAAAGUGGAAUUCCUGGUGUAGCGGUGAAAUGCGUAGAUAUCAGGAGGAACACCGGUGGUGCAAACGGCUUUCUGGACCGUAACUGACGCUGAGACACGAAAGCGUGGGGAGCAAACAGGAUUAGAAACCCGGGUAGUCC
rnacentral:rRNA from 1 species